GACUGGAUAGCUCAGUCAGUAGAGCACGAGAUCUCAGGGUCGUGGGUUCAAGCCCCACGUUGGGCA